UACAGAGGGUGCGAGCGUUGUCCGGAAUCACUGGGCGUAAAGGGCGCGUAGGUGGCGCCCCAAGUCAGUGGUGAAAGCUCGAUGCUCAACAUCGAGUCGGCCACUGAGACUGGGGGGCUCGAGCACUGUAGAGGCAGAUGGAAUUCCGGGUGUAGCGGUGGAAUGCGUAGAGAUCCGGAAGAACACCGGUGGCGAAGGCGGCGUUCUGGACUGCAACUGACGCUGAUGAACGAAAGCCAGGGGAGCAAACGGG
rnacentral:rRNA from 1 species